rnacentral:misc_RNA from 1 species
AUUUUUUAUUGUUAUUUUAUUUUUAACUUACUUUAUAUAUUUUAUAAUUACGUUAGACUGAAUUUCAAAAAUAUAAUUACAUUAGACUUUCAUAAUUUAUUCAAUAAUAAUUAUUGUUAAAAUACUAUAUCUUUGUAAAAAAGAAAAUUAAAAAUAUAACUUAAGUAUUAUUAAACUGAUGAGUAUCAUGAGGGCAACAUGGUUGAACCACUUUCCAUGUUCCAAGGAGCAAUCACAAGAGCUAGGGCCCAGGCAUUGCAAGCACUAAUUCAAGCACAUAUUGAUCAAGUAUGGCAGCCCAACAUGCAAGGAAUUCAAGAGGAGCACAAGUGUGGCGUGUCGAUGUAAUUCGUUAUUCAAAGUGAACUGAACCAUGGUCCAGCAAAGUGAGCCAAGCCAAGGUCCAGCCAAGUGCGCCAAUCCAAACCUCUUUCAUCCCAAAGAGAUUCUAAUUCUGUCCAUUUAGCAGCCUUGCACCUUGUGAGCUUUAUCUAAGUUGGAAAGGAAAGUGAGAGACUUUUUUGUCCAAGAUAUAAAAGAAAAAACAACAUUGCCAUUUUCAGUUACAAGCAAAAGAAACUUUUGUAUUUAGAUUUGGUUUAGACUUGUAAAUGUGGUUUUUACCUAAAAUGGGGGUGAAUGUAUUUUAUCCAAUACUUGGAGAAACUCUUGGAUAAAGGCUUUAAGUGUUGGCAGAACCAUGGGCAGCCUUAUAAGGCUUUUUUCUUCAUUUUGUUAGUUCAGUUUUUGAAGAAUCUGCCAUUGUUAAGCUUACAGCUUGUAAGCUUAACAACUCAUUUGAGAGAGUUUAUGUAUGUUCUUCCUAAGUUCCACUAAGAACUUAGAUUCAAUAUAAGUUAGUUACUUAUAUUGUCUCAUUUUGAUGUCUGGUGUAAUUUGGCACAAGUUGCCCUAUUUGUAUAAGAUCCUUGACUUUCUUUUACU